GAUUGAACGCUGGCGGCAUGCUUUACACAUGCAAGUCGAACGGUAACAGGUCUUCGGAUGCUGACGAGUGGCGAACGGGUGAGUAAUGUAUCGGAACGUGCCCAGUAGUGGGGGAUAACUACUCGAAAGAGUGGCUAAUACCGCAUGAGAACUGAGGUUGAAAGCGGGGGACCUUCGGGCCUCGCGCUACUGGAGCGGCCGAUAUCAGAUUAGGUAGUUGGUGGGGUAAAGGCCUACCAAGCCGACGAUCUGUAGCUGGUCUGAGAGGACGACCAGCCACACUGGGACUGAGACACGGCCCAGACUCCUACGGGAGGCAGCAGUGGGGAAUUUUGGACAAUGGACGCAAGUCUGAUCCAGCAAUGCCGCGUGCAGGAAGACGGCCCUAUGGGUUGUAAACUGCUUUUCCAGGGAGAGAAACUUACGCACGUGUUGCGUGACUGACGGUACCCUGGGAAUAAGCAUCGGCUAACUCCGUGCCAGCAGCCGCGGUAAUACGGAGGAUGCAAGCGUUAUCCGGAUUCAUUGGGUUUAAAGGGUGCGUAGGCGGGCUAUUAAGUCAGUGGUGAAAUCCUGCAGCUUAACUGCAGAACUGCCGUUGAUACUGAUAGUCUUGAGUUUGGUUAAGGUAGGCGGAAUGUGUAAUGUAGCGGUGAAAUGCUUAGAUAUUACACAGAACACCAAUUGCGUAGGCAGCUUACUGAGCCGACACUGACGCUGAGGCACGAAAGCGUGGGGAUCAAACAGGAUUAGAUACCCUGGUAGUCCACGCCGUAAACGAUGAUUACUCGCUGUUGGCGAUACACUGUCAGCGGCUAAGCAAAAGCAAUAAGUAAUCCACCUGGGGAGUACGGCCGCAAGGUUGAAACUCAAAGGAAUUGACGGGGGCCCGCACAAGCGGAGGAACAUGUGGUUUAAUUCGAUGAUACGCGAGGAACCUUACCUGGGCUUAAAUGUAGAGUGCAUUUUCUAGAGAUAGAAAUUCCCUUCGGGGCUUUCUGCAAGGUGCUGCAUGGUUGUCGUCAGCUCGUGCCGUGAGGUGUCGGGUUAAGUCCCAUAACGAGCGCAACCCUUAUCGUUAGUUGCCAGCUGGUAAAGCAGGGGACUCUAGCGAAACUGCCACCGUAAGGUGAGAGGAAGGUGGGGAUGACGUCAAAUCAGCACGGCCCUUAUGUCCAGGGCUACACACGUGUUACAAUGGCCGGUACAGAGGGCUGCUACCUGGUGACAGGAUGCUAAUCUCGAAAACCGGUCUCAGUUCGGAUCGAAGUCUGCAACUCGACUUCGUGAAGCCGGAUUCGCUAGUAAUCGCGCAUCAGCAACGGCGCGGUGAAUACGUUCCCGGGCCU
rnacentral:rRNA from 1 species